rnacentral:sRNA from 1 species
GACGUCGCUGUCGCCGCGGAGCCGUA